UGAGCCCUCCGGUGUUAACUAAAUCUCCGAUCCACCAAGAUCUCUGAGUGCUGCUUGGUUUUUCUGCCACCGUUCCAGCCUGGUUCCAUAACAUAUUUGGUUCCCUGACUGAGAAACCUAACCGCGCUGGCCCAUUGUUGCCACUGGUUUGGAAGAAUGGCUAGGCUGUGACGGAGCAAGGAGCAAGGAAUCAUAAAGGAGAAGGUGUGUCCUGACUGAAUUUUGGCAGUCCCCUGUUCAGUCACCUGGGGCUGGCCGUGUUCUGUCGUUCCUGCUGGACUCAAAGAGACCUGGUGCGACUCAUCCAUAGCAAGCAGAGUCAGGCAAAGGUUUUAGCAGCUUUAUCCGGAGAUUCACCCAGGGAGCCAAAGAAGAAACUCACCACUCCCCUAGUGUUUGCAUGACACCUGGAGGAAGAUCCCGUCUUUCUGCCACCUUAUGACUCACCAGGUUCCCUCCCCCAUGCCCCUGAGCUUGAAACUCCUCCCCCAUCUGUCUCUCCUCUGCUGCCACUGCUGCCCAUCUCUCCUCACCUCCUGCACCCAGAGAACCCUCCCCGGGAGACAAGGGCCAGCAGCCAGACCGCACCCCAGACCCAGACCUAACGCUCUCCAAAUGCCUGUAAGGGAGACGAGAGCCUGAAAGACAGAAUGAGGAUGGAACAGUCCAGCCAGCCAUUCCAUGAUGUAUUAUCAACCUUUCUCUACAACCAACCUCCUCAACUGGAAACACAAUACUCCAUCAUACUCUGAAAACCCACAAGCAAUGGUCAACUUGAUGGAGUCCCUCUUCCAGACCCACAGACUGACUUGGGAAGAUAGUCAACAGUUACUCCAUACUCUGUUUAAUACAGAAGAAAGAAGAAGAAUGAGAGAAACAUGACAGUAUCUAGAAGAUCACACACCUCCGGGGAUCAAUGAUCCUGCUGUCUGGGCUCAAGCUGCUGUGCCUGAAGAACGCCUGACAUGGGAUUUCACCACAGAAGGACAAGCCCACAUCUGAUGAUACCAGGAAGCCCUCCUUGGGGGAAUCCAAGCUGGAGCCAAAAAGCCCAUGAACAUGACUAAAAUAUCAUCAGAAGAAAAUUCCAGAAGUUGGAGGGCUUUGCCAGGAUGAAUAUCAAUCAGCUGAUAGAGGUUGCCAGUAAAGUUUCAUGAACAGAGAAGUCACAGCCAAAAGAGAAGCAGAGAGAAGACUAAAAAAGAAGGCCACCUUUCUCGCAGCAGCACUAAAAGAAACAGACGCUGUGAAAAUGGGAAGACCCCAACCACCAAAAGGGGGGAAGACCAGAGCCCCCUUAGCAAGGACCAAUGUGCAUACUGCAAAUAGAAGGGACCCUGGAAAAAUGAAUGUCCAAAUUGGAAGGGCCCCUCAAAACCCUGCUGAUAUCAGGAAGAACCUCGAGGCAAGAACCUCAUUGGUCUGGCUGGGAUAGAAUCAGACUGAGGGGACAGGGCUCUUUCUCUCUUGGCCCCCAUGAAAUGAAAGUAGGGGGCCAGACAAUAAAUUUCAUUGUUGACACUGGAGCUGAACACUGGGUUGUUACUUCCCUGGUGGCACCCUUCAGCCAUGGAAACCAUUCUUGGGGCUACUGGGACACAGUGAUGCAGCCCUUCCGUCAAGCUCGACAAUGUGAACCUGGGGGUCACAAGGUCCGGCAUGAGUUCCUCUACUUACCUGACUGCCCAAUUCCUCUCCUGGGCCAAGGAUCUGCUCUCCAAACUUGGGGACCAGAUAACUUUUGAACCCACUGGACACAUUAGCCUUCAGUUAAACUCAAGGCAGAAGGAUACCCUGGUCGUGGCGAUUACCCUGCCAAGGGAAGAAGAAUGGAGACUAUUCUGCGCCCAGGCCCUACCCUGUAGCCCUUCAGAGUUCAGGCUUACAUUCCCCUCUGUAUGGGCUGAAGAUAACCCACCUGGACUAGCUUGGAACUGGACCCCAUCAUUGUUGACCUGAUCCCUGGAGCCCAACCUUGGAGACAAAGGCAGUACUCCCUUCCACUCGAGGCUAGAAUGGGUAUACAAGAGCACCUGACCAAGCUCAGAGAAGCAGGUAUUCUAACUGUGUGCCAAUCGGCUUGGAAUACCCCACUCAUGCCAGUCAAGAAGCCAGGAGGAGGAUACCAACCAGUACAGGAUUUGAGGGCCAUUAACUGGCUUUACACCCAGUGGUUCUGAACCCGUAUACACUCCUCAGCCAAAUUCCGGGGUCAGCCAGAUGGUUUACAUGCCUCGACUUAAAGGAUGCUUUCUUCUGCCUCCGCCUGGCUCCUCAAAGUCAACAGCCAUUGUUUGCCUUUGAAUGGACUGAGUCCAUUACAGGGUGCCAGCUGCAGCUGACCUGGACACAACUUCCCCAAGGCUUCAAGAACUUGCCCACUCUUUUUGGGGAAGUACUAGCUGCCGACUUCAUCGACUUUCUGAGGGAAAUCACAGGGUGUGUCCUCCUCCAAUAUGUAGACGACCUCCUCCUUGCCAGCGACACCCAAGAAAACUGUAUGAAAGGUACCAAGGCCCUCCUGCAGCUCCUAUCCUACUUGGGGUACCAGGCCUCUUGGAAAAAGGCACAGAUUUGUCAGCAGCAGGUCCGAUACUUAGGCUUCCUCCUCACAAAAGGAAAAAGAGAACUAGGACCAGAAAGGAAAAAUGUUAUCACCACACUGCCACAGCUCCCCCCAAAAAAUGAGGCUUGCAUGAAUUUUUAGGGGUCGCAGGGUUCUGUCGCAUUUGGAUUCCCGGAUUCUCAGCCAUAGUGAGGCCCUUCUAUGACCUCUUGGGAGGGCCAGACUGGGAGCCCCUCGCAUGAACUGAGGACGCAAGGGCUGCUUUCACAGAAAUAAAGCUGGCUCUGGGAUGAGCCCCAGCCCUGGGUUUGCCUGACAUAGAAAGGCCCUUUAACCUCUUCGUACAUUAAAGGACAAAAUAGCCCUUGGAGUGCUCACUCAGAGCAUGGGGCCUUGACAACGGCCAGUAGCCUACCUGUCAAAAAAAAAACUUGAUCCUGUGGUUGCAGGAUGGCCACCCGUGCCUCAGAGCACUAGCAGCCACAGUCCUGCUCUUCAAGGAGGCAGACAAACUCACACUGGGACAAACACUUAAUGUUAAGGUCCCACACGCAGUCAUGUCCCUCAUGAGCACCCAAGGAUAUCGUUUCCUCUCCAAUUCUUGGCUGACACAAUACCAAGGCCUUCUCCAUGAAAACCCAAGGGUCACUAUCGAAACAGUAAGAACACUAAACCCGGCCACCUUCCUUCCCACAGAAGAGGGAGAACCUGACCAUGACUGUUCCAAGGUAGUGGAUGAAGUCCAUGCCAGCUGCCUGGACCUCCAAGACCAGGCUAUAACAAGUCCAGAGACCAUCCUGUUCAGCGAUGGGAGCAUCUAUUUAAAAGAGGGCAGCCGAAGAGCAGGAUAUGUGGUAACCACAACCACCGAAGUUCUGUAAGCCAAGGCAUUGCCAGAAGGAUGGUUGGCAGAACGAGCUGAACUGUAUGCCUUAACCUGAGCCUUCAUCCUUAGCAAAGGUAAACGAGUUAACAUCUAUACUGAUUCUCGGUAUGCCUUCACUACUGUGCAUGUACACAGAGCCAUCUAUAAAGAAAGAGGCCUCCUUACUGCUGCAGGGAAAACUAUCAAAAAACAAGGAAGAAAUACUAAAGUUUCUUGAGGCCGUAUGGCUGCCAGACAAGGUAGCUAUCCUACACUGUAAGGGACAUCAGAAAGGAGACGACCCCAUAACUCAAAAAACUCACCUGCGAAAGGCCAUAUUUCA